rnacentral:rRNA from 1 species
AUUGAACGCUGGCGGCAUGCUUUACACAUGCAAGUCGAACGGCAGCAUAGGUGCUUGCACCUGAUGGCGAGUGGCGAACGGGUGAGUAAUAUAUCGGAACAUGUCCGGAAGUGGGGGAUAACGUAGCGAAAGUUACGCUAAUACCGCAUAUGCCCUGAGGGGGAAAGGGGGGGAUCGUAAGACCUCUCGCUUUCGGAGUGGCCGAUAUCGGAUUAGCUAGUAAGUGAGGUAAAGGCUCACCUAGGCGACGAUCCGUAGCUGGUCUGAGAGGACGACCAGCCACACUGGGACUGAGACACGGCCCAGACUCCUACGGGAGGCAGCAGUGGGGAAUUUUGGACAAUGGGCGCAAGCCUGAUCCAGCCAUGCCGCGUGAGUGAAGAAGGCCUUCGGGUUGUAAAGCUCUUUCAGCUGGAAAGAAAUCGUAUCUAUUAAUACUAGGUGCGGAUGACGGUACCAGCAGAAGAAGCACCGGCUAACUACGUGCCAGCAGCCGCGGUAA